AUCCUAGUGCACGGGUUUUACACGUAUCAGUGAGGAGACAUCCGAGAUCGUGUUUUUGCUAGUUGAAAACUACCAAAAUGACUACUUCAAGUGAGCUUAAUCGCACGCUUGGGAAUUUUUGAAACCUUCCUG
rnacentral:snRNA from 1 species